rnacentral:lncRNA from 1 species
AACACCCUCGUUGACUCUCCUCUCUGGUCGUCUCCCUUCCUCGUUGACUUGCUGUUUCCCUGCCGACUUAACGCGGUUCGCUCUGUACUUUUCACUCUUCAUCGAUCUUUCUCAGACUCGUCACUGUUGGUUCAUCCUUUAUCGCUGCUGUUUCAGUUCUCCUUGUCAUCCUGUAUGCUUCUUAAUUACAAGUUGUUAGACAAUUUCAUCUUAUGAAUCAUAAAUCACAUCAUAAUCGUUUGGUUAUUUCACUAAAAGGUGAUUGAAUAUUGUCUAUUUCCAUUAUUUUUGUUUUAUUUUAUAUAUCAAUUAGGAUAGUCCACACUCCUUCUAGCUAAAGUCAAGUACGAUGAACAAAAUUUCCUGCACGUUGAGAAUUCUUUGAUCCUUUAAAAUUUCUUCCUCAAUUCCUCUAUAUUUUCUAAUUCACAACACGAUUUUUAGAUUUGAUUCUUUUUGAAUGAUGUUUAUGAACAAGCUUCAAUAUUUGACUGUCAUAAUGAGUGUUUUGCUUGUGUAUAGACUAAAGAGUGCAUUUAGCUUUGAAGUUUCUUCUAUUAUUGAGUUUGAAAUUGAACCCUUAGAAAGGGCAAAGUGGAAGGCGUGUUUUGUUGGCUUCAGAAACAUAUCAUUUGGAACAACCCCAUCAAUAUUGUUAGUUGAAACACUUAAAAUAAGAUUUAUGCUGAUACUAGAUCCAGUUAUAUAUGAAUUUUAAAUUUGUGUAGAUUGUUGUUGCUAAUUUUGGAGAUCCAUAAUUAAACAACCUUGUCAAGCAAGUGCUGUUUUUUUUGUUUAAAACUUUACAUCUUUCAAUUGUAUGUUGAUAUCUAGUAAAAGCUUGAAAUUUCCUGUAUGUUUUGCAAUUUCCUUCAUGGGAGGUAAUAGUGGAUCUUGUAGUUAUUUCCAGAAUGGUAUUUUGGUGUAGAUUUGUUUGAGGAUUACUUUACUGAAAUUCAUAUGGAUUUUACUUAGACAAAUAAGGAUCUUCAUGUGGGCUAAUCAAAUUAAAACAGAGGCGUUGUAGUUUCAAUGCAUAAAUUGGUUUGUUUUUUUUUUUUCUUGAAUCUAAACUUAGCCAGAAAAACAGGUUAACCAAUUUAGUUUAAUUGGUAACAGCAUUUAAAAUAAAUUUCAUGGCAAUGUAAUGGUUAUUCUAUAUCCAUACUUUGUUUUUGUGGGAAAAAAUAUUCUAUAUAAAUACUUAGUUAGCUAUAUAUGUGUUGGCUAAAGGAUCCAAAAACCUGUCACAUAAUUAUUAUUGCCAUGAGAUUGCUGUUGUAGUGAUUUAACAGCCUCUCUUUGUAUUUCAAACACGGCAGCAACCGCUUAAUGCUUAUUCUUUUGUGUUCCUUUUCCAGUGUUUAUUUGAUGAGAUUUAAGUUGCAUAUUAUAAAUAUUAAUAAUUUGGAUUUUAUGUACAGGCUUUAUUUGAACCACAAGUUAAGUGUUUCUAGCUAAUUGAGAUACACAAAGGCUCAUCAACCCAAAACUCAUAAUGGUUAUUCUCUCUGAACUCCUCUCAGAAGGAUCUUCAUCUUCUUCAUCAACUCAUGGUUAU